GGAUGCGAUCAUACCAGCACUAAAGCACCGGAUCCCAUCAGAACUACGAAGUUAAGCGUGCUUGGGCGAGAGUAGUACUAGGAUGGGUGACCUCCUGGGAAGUCCUCGUGUUGCAUUCCC
rnacentral:rRNA from 1 species